rnacentral:rRNA from 1 species
UAUUAUAAUUAAAAUGAAGUUUACCAGAGUAUUAAUAGUUAUUUUCUUUAAAUUCAAAGAAUUUGGCGGUAUUUUAGUCUUUUUAGAGGAACCUGUUUCAUAAACGACAAUCCGCGAGAAUUUUACCUGCUUUAUUUGUUUGUAUACCGUCAUUAUUAGAGAACUUUGAGAAAAAUAGUUGUUGAAAUUGAUUAUAAUUAAGUAAAUUAGAUCAAGGUGCAGUUUAUAAGCAGGAGAAAAUGGGUUACAAUAAAAAUAGUUUAAAUGGAUUUAUAUUUGAAAUAAUAUAAUGAAGGUGGAUUUAAUUGUAAGUUUAAUAAUUAUAUUAGCUUGACAUAAGCUCUAAAAUAU